rnacentral:tRNA from 1 species
AUUUAUAUAGUUUAAAUAAAACCUUACAUUUUCACUGUAAAAAUAAAUUUUUUUUUUAUAAAUA